GGGGCUAAACCAUGCACCGAAGCUGCGGCAGCGACACUGUGUGUUGUUGGGUAGGGGAGCGUUCUGUAAGCCUGUGAAGGUGUGUCGUGAGGCAUGCUGGAGGUAUCAGAAGUGCGAAUGCUGACAUAAGUAACGAUAAAGCGGGUGAAAAGCCCGCUCGCCGGAAGACCAAGGGUUCCUGUCCAACGUUAAUCGGGGCAGGGUGAGUCGACCCCUAAGGCGAGGCCGAAAGGCGUAGUCGAUGGGAAACGGGUUAAUAUUCCCGUACUUGGUGUUACUGCGAAGGGGGGACGGAGAAGGCUAUGUUGGCCGGGCGACGGUUGUCCCGGUUUAAGCGUGUAGGUGUGUGUUCCAGGUAAAUCCGGUUCACUUUAACACUGAGGCGUGACGACGAGGCACUACGGUGCUGAAGCAACAAAUGCCCUGCUUCCAGGAAAAGCCUCUAAGCAUCAGGUAACAUCAAAUCGUACCCCAAACCGACACAGGUGGUCAGGUAGAGAAUACCAAGGCGCUUGAGAGAACUCGGGUGAAGGAACUAGGCAAAAUGGUGCCGUAACUUCGGGAGAAGGCACGCUGACACGUAGGUGAAGUGAUUUACUCAUGGAGCUGAAGUCAGUCGAAGAUACCAGCUGGCUGCAACUGUUUAUUAAAAACACAGCACUGUGCAAACACGAAAGUGGACGUAUACGGUGUGACGCCUGCCCGGUGCCGGAAGGUUAAUUGAUGGGGUCAGCGCAAGCGAAGCUCCUGAUCGAAGCCCCGGUAAACGGCGGCCGUAACUAUAACGGUCCUAAGGUAGCGAAAUUCCUUGUCGGGUAAGUUCCGACCUGCACGAAUGGCGUAAUGAUGGCCAGGCUGUCUCCACCCGAGACUCAGUGAAAUUGAACUCGCUGUGAAGAUGCAGUGUACCCGCGGCAAGACGGAAAGACCCCGUGAACCUUUACUAUAGCUUGACACUGAACAUUGAGCCUUGAUGUGUAGGAUAGGUGGGAGGCUUUGAAGUGUGGACGCCAGUCUGCAUGGAGCCGACCUUGAAAUACCACCCUUUAAUGUUUGAUGUUCUAACGUGGACCCGUUACCCGGGUUGCGGACAGUGUCUGGUGGGUAGUUUGACUGGGGCGGUCUCCUCCUAAAGAGUAACGGAGGAGCACGAAGGUUGGCUAAUCCUGGUCGGACAUCAGGAGGUUAGUGCAAUGGCAUAAGCCAGCUUGACUGCGAGCGUGACGGCGCGAGCAGGUGCGAAAGCAGGUCAUAGUGAUCCGGUGGUUCUGAAUGGAAGGGCCAUCGCUCAACGGAUAAAAGGUACUCCGGGGAUAACAGGCUGAUACCGCCCAAGAGUUCAUAUCGACGGCGGUGUUUGGCACCUCGAUGUCGGCUCAUCACAUCCUGGGGCUGAAGUAGGUCCCAAGGGUAUGGCUGUUCGCCAUUUAAAGUGGUACGCGAGCUGGGUUUAGAACGUCGUGAGACAGUUCGGUCCCUAUCUGCCGUGGGCGCUGGAGAACUGAGGGGGGCUGCUCCUAGUACGAGAGGACCGGAGUGGACGCAUCACUGGUGUUCGGGUUGUCAUGCCAAUGGCACUGCCCGGUAGCUAAAUGCGGAAGAGAUAAGUGCUGAAAGCAUCUAAGCACGAAACUUGCCCCGA
rnacentral:rRNA from 1 species